AUGCCAUGAUGAGGACACCUUCUGAGUAGUUCUUUGAAUUUUUCUCAUGCAUCAUACAAACUUUCAUCUUCAAGUUGAUGGAAAGAAGUAAUCUCAUUCCGUAAUUUU
rnacentral:snoRNA from 1 species